rnacentral:rRNA from 1 species
AUUGAACGCUGGCGGCAUGCCUUACACAUGCAAGUCGAACGGCAGCGCGGACUUCGGUCUGGCGGCGAGUGGCGAACGGGUGAGUAAUGUAUCGGAACGUACCAUUCAGUGGGGGAUAACGCAGCGAAAGUUGCGCUAAUACCGCAUAUUCUGUGCGCAGGAAAGCCGGGGAUCGCAAGACCUUGCGCUGAUUGAGCGGGCGAUAUCAGAUUAGCUAGUUGGUGAGGUAAAGGCUCACCAAGGCGACGAUCUGUAGCGGGUCUGAGAGGAUGAUCCGCCACACUGGAACUGAGACACGGUCCAGACUCCUACGGGAGGCAGCAGUGGGGAAUUUUGGACAAUGGGCGCAAGCCUGAUCCAGCCAUGCCGCGUGAGUGAAGAAGGCCUUCGGGUUGUAAAGCUCUUUCGGCCGGGAAGAAAUCGUAUGGGUUAAUACCCUGUGCGGAUGACGGUACCGGCAUAAGAAGCACCGGCUAACUACGUGCCAGCCGCCGCCGUAAAAC